AAAUGUAGGUUAAACUGACAACUGAGUGAAGAGCAGAAAUCUCAACUAGCAAGCAAGUCGCAGCAAUGAAGAACGCGAAGAAGGUGAUAGUUCUGGCAGAGGGGAGAUUUUCGGCACAACACCUGCCUGCCCCAAGUCCAAGCAGGCAACUUGCUCGUCAGUCAGCUGAAAACUCGCUAGUUGUCCUAUCAACUUCAGAAUGCUGCAAAUCAGGGCAGUGACACUUUGGCAUGGCCUAAGUUACUGAAGAUUGAAAGACAGGAGUUUGUUCCUGCGUGAGCAGAGCAGCUCUGCCCUCACCCAUGUCCCUGCCACAUCUGCAAAGACCCCCAGCCGCCCCAGGGUAUCCCAGCCCUCUCAGCAGGGGCCAGGCUUCUCCAAUGAGCACAGGAGGGGCUGCAGAUUCACCAGGCCUGGGACCGGUCCUCGUAGGGCAAGCCGUGUCCAGCUGUUCUUCCCCGCUCCCUCCCUGUCCUCUGGGGCUGAGUGGGAUACUACCCACCCACCUUCUUGGUCACACUACCUGAGUGGCUUCAGCCUAAGUGGGGUCAGUGCUUUCAGUAGUCCCUCCUUCAGUUCAGCCUGGAGACAAGCUCCAGCCUCCACCUCCAAGGCCACUCCCUCAGAGCAACACUCUGCUCAGAGAGCAAGUCUGGGGAAUUUCAUGCUGUCCCCUCCAGAACUUCAGCACUAACACAGUCCCAGACUGGGGGUUCAUCAGCAGCCGCAGGAGGAGCGCCAAGAUGGGGAUGGGAUUUUGUCUCACCUGUGAAUUGCUGAUAAAAUCUUACUUGUAUCAGCUCAACCAAAACAAUGUACAUAACAUACUGUUCUCUCUCCAGUAGACUGCAGACAGAAUCAUCACGGAGGAUCAACCCAACCCCAGUCUGUGCAGAGCGGCCUCACUCCAGACCUAAGACUUUCACUUCCACCCCGUUCAGCACCAGGCCCUCCACAGUCCCAGAGGCAGUCACUGGGGCCCUAAACGUCAAUGUGGGCAGCCCCCCUCUGUCUGCAGGAGGAGUGAGAACUGCUAAAGAGAGAGAAACUAUAUGUUUUACUUCUCCGAGGACGGGUUUCCCAGACACGGAGUAAGCCUUGUCCUGGACUAAAUUCAUGCUCCAUGGAAAAUCUCAAUUAACAUCUGGUUCCCAAUGUGUUCCUGGAGCUUUUCUUUGUGCUACAGCUGCUCACGUCUAGAACACCAUCUGUCACAGAGGAAGAGGAGGAAGGUCUAAGUAUAGAGAAGUCAGAUGUCCUGGAAAGAGGUUACUACAGAAAUAUGCACAACUGUGUCUACUUCUCUGUCAGGGUGCUGGAGAAUCGGUUUGACUGCACUCUUGACUGGUUCUCCCUUGAAAAAGAGGUAGUUUGACAUCAAUGUGAGAACCUGCUAAAAGAAACCCCAUCAGUCCUGAGACCCCAGCAAAAAAUCAGCUUUUUAUUUCUCUGACGUUCAUUGAUCUGCAUGUCCAGCCCUUAUAUUUAGCCUCCCAUUGAAGUGUUUUACCGUGUCCUUUUCAGGACAACCAGCGCUACAAGUAGAACACAAAACUAUUUGACAUAAACAAUUGCAAUGAUGAGUUCUAUUGAAAAUUGUAAAUUAAAAAAAUGUCAGCCAAAACAAAAACCUGAUACUGAAUUUAUAUGAAUGUUAGAAAUAAAGAAAUUGUUUGCUCACAGGGAAAUGAAUAUCCAACUUAUCAGGGACAACUGUGUGGAGUUUGGAGGUUGUAACAGCAACUAUGUGAGCUUAUUACUUACAGUAUUAUAGACACUAUGUCCUGGGAUUUCCUAUCAUCUAUGUAGAAUAACCCGUUACAGUAUUAUAGACACUAUGUCCUGGGAUUUCCUAUGAUCUAUGUAGAAU